GCUCCGGUGUCCUAGUGGCUAGAGCGUUCGCCUCGGAUGGGAGAGGCAGCGGGUUCGAACCCCGGCUGAGUCA